rnacentral:rRNA from 1 species
GAGCGGAUGACAGGAGCUUGCUCCUUGAUUCAGCGGCGGACGGGUGAGUAAUACCUAGGAAUCUGCCUGGUAGUGGGGGACAACGUUUCGAAAGGAACGCUAAUACCGCAUACGUCCUACGGGAGAAAGCAGGGGACCUUCGGGCCUUGCGCUAUCAGAUGAGCCUAGGUCGGAUUAGCUAGUUGGUGGGGUAAUGGCUCACCAAGGCGACGAUCCGUAACUGGUCUGAGAGGAUGAUCAGUCACACUGGAACUGAGACACGGUCCAGACUCCUACGGGAGGCAGCAGUGGGGAAUAUUGGACAAUGGGUGAAAGCCUGAUCCAGCCAUGCCGCGUGUGUGAAGAAGGUCUUCGGAUUGUAAAGCACUUUAAGUUGGGAGGAAGGGCAGUAAGUUAAUACCUUGCUGUUUUGACGUUACCGACAGAAUAAGCACCGGCUAACUCUGUG